GUCGUAGCUCACUGGUAGAGCAUCUGUUGCAUGCAGAAGGUGCAAGAUUCAAUCCCUGGCAUCUCCA